rnacentral:lncRNA from 1 species
AACUAUUGGUAGAGAUCCCAAUGAUCAUAUGUUGCCAAUAUCAUUUGUUGUUGUUCAAGGGGAAACAAAGGAUAGUUUGACAUAGUUUUUGGAACAUCUGAUGAAUGAUGUUGGAGGUAAGGAUAAGUAUCUUUUCUACACUUUCAUUUUUUAUCAACAAAAAGUAUGGUGUAUUUUAAUUGUAAUUGAAUCCAUUCAUUUAUUUUAUGAUGUAUUUUAAUUGUAAUUAUAUUCAUGUAUUGUAUGUUGUAUUGCAUGGUUUGUUUUCUGCUAUGGAUGAG